UCUUGAAUUAGAUAAGAGGUCCAGCCUGGCCAGUGACCCCAGUUCAACGGCCGCGGUAUCCUAACCGUGCAAAGGUAGCGUAAUCACUUGUUCUUUAAAUGAGGACUAGUAUGAAUGGCAUCACGAGAGUUUUACUGUCUCCUUUUUCUAAUCAGUGAAACUGUUCUCCCCGUGAAGAAACGGGGAUAAAUAUAUAAGACGAGAAGACCCUAUGGAGCUUUAAACUUUAUUUCAACUGCUUUCUCUUCAUAGCCGGCCCCGGCCUCUCUUAUUGAAUCAAGCAUCAUGAUAAUAGAUUUUAGGUUGGGGUGACCACGGAGCAUAAAAAAACCCCCGUGUUGAAUAAAAGGCCUCAUAGCCCUGAGCUAAGAGUUACAACUCCAAGCACUAACAAUUUAACAUCCAUUGACCCAAUAUUUUUGAUCAACGAACCAAGUUACCCUAGGGAUAACAGCGCAAUCUACUUUGAGAGCCCCUAUCGACAAGUAGGUUUACGACCUCGAUGUUGGAUCAGGGUAUCCCAGUGGUGCAGCCGCUACUAAAGGUUCGUUUGUUCAACGAUUAAAACCCUACGUGAUCUGAGUUCAGACCGG
rnacentral:rRNA from 1 species